UGGCGGAAUGGUAGACGCGGCAGUCUCAAAAACUGUUGAGGGGCAACUCUCGUGUCGGUUCGACUCCGAC
rnacentral:tRNA from 1 species